UUUAUAUGUGAAUUGGUAAACGUGUAAAGCGAAAUUUGUCAACCAUGCCAGCCAAGUCACUUGAUGCAAAGGGUUACAAAGCAGUGUUUCGUGUCAAACUGUUACUGCUUUAGAUUCACUAAAAGCCUUCUACUACUACUCUGGUAAAUCACAUCAGCUUUAUCAGAUCUAAAUUGGAGCAGCUACAGACUAUAUUGCUCCCAGCACCCAGGACCACUCUCUGAGAGGUCCUUUAACAAAUGUUGCAGUGAUAAUGGUAUGGAUAAGCCCUCUUUCAAAUGGAGGGCUCAUCCAUACAGGGGUGCUGGGAGGCACCAAGUAAAAAAUAGCAACAAAAAAAUUUUCAAUAUCUUAAAUCAGUGAAGUUAUUAACAAUUUUUUUGUUGCUGUU
rnacentral:lncRNA from 1 species